rnacentral:tRNA from 1 species
GUAUGUAUAGCUCAGUGGUAGAGCACAUGCUUAGCAUGCGGUCCUGGGUUCAAUCCCCAGUACCUCCU